rnacentral:tRNA from 1 species
GGGGAUGUAGCUCAGUGGUAGACGCAUGCUUUGCAUGUAUGAGGCCCUGGUUCAAUCCCCGGCAUCUCCA